rnacentral:rRNA from 1 species
GGUUAAGCGACUAAGCGUACACGGUGGAUGCCCUGGCAGUCAGAGGCGAUGAAGGACGUGCUAAUCUGCGAUAAGCGUCGGUAAGGUGAUAUGAACCGUUAUAACCGGCGAUUUCCGAAUGGGGAAACCCAGUGUGUUUCGACACACUAUCAUUAACUGAAUCCAUAGGUUAAUGAGGCGAACCGGGGGAACUGAAACAUCUAAGUACCCCGAGGAAAAGAAAUCAACCGAGAUUCCCCCAGUAGCGGCGAGCGAACGGGGAGCAGCCCAGAGCCUGAAUCAGUGUGUGUGUUAGUGGAAGCGUCUGGAAAGGCGUGCGAUACAGGGUGACAGCCCCGUACACAAAAAUGCACAUGCUGUGAGCUCGAUGAGUAGGGCGGGACACGUGGUAUCCUGUCUGAAUAUGGGGGGACCAUCCUCCAAGGCUAAAUACUCCUGACUGACCGAUAGUGAACCAGUACCGUGAGGGAAAGGCGAAAAGAACCCCGGCGAGGGGAGUGAAAAAGAACCUGAAACCGUGUACGUACAAGCAGUGGGAGCACGCUUAGGCGUGUGACUGCGUACCUUUUGUAUAAUGGGUCAGCGACUUAUAUUCUGUAGCAAGGUUAACCGAAUAGGGGAGCCGAAGGGAAACCGAGUCUUAACUGGGCGUUAAGUUGCAGGGUAUAGACCCGAAACCCGGUGAUCUAGCCAUGGGCAGGUUGAAGGUUGGGUAACACUAACUGGAGGACCGAACCGACUAAUGUUGAAAAAUUAGCGGAUGACUUGUGGCUGGGGGUGAAAGGCCAAUCAAACCGGGAGAUAGCUGGUUCUCCCCGAAAGCUAUUUAGGUAGCGCCUCGUGAAUUCAUCUCCGGGGGUAGAGCACUGUUUCGGCAAGGGGGUCAUCCCGACUUACCAACCCGAUGCAAACUGCGAAUACCGGAGAAUGUUAUCACGGGAGACACACGGCGGGUGCUAACGUCCGUCGUGAAGAGGGAAACAACCCAGACCGCCAGCUAAGGUCCCAAAGUCAUGGUUAAGUGGGAAACGAUGUGGGAAGGCCCAGACAGCCAGGAUGUUGGCUUAGAAGCAGCCAUCAUUUAAAGAAAGCGUAAUAGCUCACUGGUCGAGUCGGCCUGCGCGGAAGAUGUAACGGGGCUAAACCAUGCACCGAAGCUGCGGCAGCGACGCUGAUGCGUUGUUGGGUAGGGGAGCGUUCUGUAAGCCUGCGAAGGUGUGCUGUGAGGCAUGCUGGAGGUAUCAGAAGUGCGAAUGCUGACAUAAGUAACGAUAAAGCGGGUGAAAAGCCCGCUCGCCGGAAGACCAAGGGUUCCUGUCCAACGUUAAUCGGGGCAGGGUGAGUCGACCCCUAAGGCGAGGCCGAAAGGCGUAGUCGAUGGGAAACAGGUUAAUAUUCCUGUGCUUGGUGUUACUGCGAAGGGGGGACGGAGAAGGCUAUGUUGGCCGGGCGACGGUUGUCCCGGUUUAAGCGUGUAGGCUGGUUUUCCAGGCAAAUCCGGAAAAUCAAGGCUGAGGCGUGAUGACGAGGCACUACGGUGCUGAAGCAACAAAUGCCCUGCUUCCAGGAAAAGCCUCUAAGCAUCAGGUAACAUCAAAUCGUACCCCAAACCGACACAGGUGGUCAGGUAGAGAAUACCAAGGCGCUUGAGAGAACUCGGGUGAAGGAACUAGGCAAAAUGGUGCCGUAACUUCGGGAGAAGGCACGCUGAUAUGUAGGUGAAGUCCCUCGCGGAUGGAGCUGAAAUCAGUCGAAGAUACCAGCUGGCUGCAACUGUUUAUUAAAAACACAGCACUGUGCAAACACGAAAGUGGACGUAUACGGUGUGACGCCUGCCCGGUGCCGGAAGGUUAAUUGAUGGGGUCAGCGCAAGCGAAGCUCUUGAUCGAAGCCCCGGUAAACGGCGGCCGUAACUAUAACGGUCCUAAGGUAGCGAAAUUCCUUGUCGGGUAAGUUCCGACCUGCACGAAUGGC